AUGGGUAGCAAGAUGACUUCUGCCAGCAGGGUCAUGCAGGUAGUAAAGCCACAUGUUCCAUUAAUAAGAUCCCCUAGCAGAAGAGUCACUCCUAAACUCAGUGCUUCAGAAGCUUUGGGAUCUCCUCUGAAAGUUCACAGCAUUCUAAAGGAAGUAUGUCUCCCGAUUUACUGAUGCUUCAGGGGCCACUAGAUACUGCAGAAAUAAUAAAAAACAUUACCUUAGAAAUACAGAAGGAAACCUAUUUCUCAAGAGUAAAUAGAAUAUAGCCCGUUUAAAGGUC
rnacentral:lncRNA from 1 species